CACGUAGGGGACGAGCGUUGUCCGGAUUCAUUGGGCGUAAAGCGCGCGUAGGCGGCUCGGAAAGUCGGUCGUGAAAUGCCGGGGCUCAACCCCGGGACUGCGUCCGAUACUCUCGAGCUGGAGGCAGGUAGGGGAGAGCGGAACUCCUGGUGGAGCGGUGAAAUGCGUAGAUAUCAGGAGGAACACCGGUGGCGAAGGCGGCUCUCUGGUCCACAACUGACGCUGAGGUGCGAAAGCUAGGGGAGCAAACGGG
rnacentral:rRNA from 1 species